UUUUUCAACCUUCUGUCUCUCUUUGAUUCGUCUUCUGUUUAUAUCUCUCUGAUUCGUCUUCGCCAUUUCUGAUUCCUCUUUCUCAUACUCUUCUUGUUCUACAAUGUCUCACCCACCAAGGUCCUCACCGUUGCGAUUUUUCAGAGCAUCUUCAACUCUCCCUAAAAACAAUUUGAGUCUGUUGAGUUAGUCUGUUGGGCAUCUUGGAGUUUGCCGAGGGAUGCCCUCUUGGCAAGUCUGGCUUACAGUGGCUCAAGAUACUAAUGGCGAAUUUGUAUGCUGGUGGUGUGGGCAAGUUUUCCUACGAGGGUCGAAUUGCAUUUACUGAGAAUCAUUUAGAUGAUAUCUUUGAUUCAGCAGACAGACCUCUUGAAAGAAGGUGCUAGUGGUUGGUUGCAGAGGAUCCAUGUCAAUGCUUCGCAACAUGUAUUAAUCUUGCUGAAGCAUUGAGAAGCUCCUCUCCAAAGACUACUAUUUCAUGCAUGCCUGUCCACCAGGAUGGUUCAUGUAAUGGCCUGCAAUACUAUGCUACCCUUGGGAGGGACAAGUUAGGAGCAGCUGCAAUCAAUCUUGUUGCAGGAGAGAAACCUGCAGAUGUUUACUUGGGAAUUGCUGCUAGGUAGACAGGAAAUUGGUUAAGCAAACGGUGAUGAAAUCACUGUAUGGCAUGACUUGUAUUGGUGCCCAUGACCAAAUCAAGAAGAGGCUAAAAGACCGUUGUGCCAUUGAAGACGAAGAUGAGUUGUUUGCAGCAUCUUGUUAUGCAACAAAAGCCACCUUGACCGCAUUGGGUGAGAUGUUUGAAGCUGCACAAAGUAUCAUGAGUUGGCUCAGUGACUGUGCAAAGGUCUAUUCACUAUAAUUUUAGAUGUUUUGCCUAGUAAAAGAGAUAUGUACAGAUUGUGACCAUCAAUAGCUGUGAAGCUAAU